rnacentral:rRNA from 1 species
UGGCUCAGGAUGAACGCUAGCGGCAGGCUUAAUACAUGCAAGUCGAGGGGCAGCAGCUUUGUAGCAAUACAGGGGCUGGCGACCGGCAAACGGGUGCGGAACACGUACGCAACCUUCCUUUAACUGGAAGAUAGCCCACCGAAAGGUGGAUUAAUACUCCAUAACAUAUUGAAGAGGCAUCUCUUUGAUAUUAUAGCUCCGGCGGUUUUGGAUGGGCGUGCGCCUGAUUAGGUAGUUGGCGGGGUAACGGCCCACCAAGCCUUCGAUCAGUAACUGGUGUGAGAGCACGACCAGUCACACGGGCACUGAGACACGGGCCCGACUCCUACGGGAGGCAGCAGUAAGGAAUAUUGGUCAAUGGACGCAAGUCUGAACCAGCCAUGCCGCGUAAAGGAUGAAGGUCCUCUGGAUUGUAAACUUCUUUUAUCUGGGACGAAAAAAGGGAAUUCUUUCUCACUUGACGGUACCAGAGGAAUAAGCACCGGCUAACUCCGUG